GGGCCCGCACAAGCGGUGGAGCAUGUGGUUUAAUUCGAUGAUACGCGAGGAACCUUACCUGGGCUUAAAUGUUAGAUGACAGUCCCCGAAAGGGGAUCUUCCUUCGGGACAUCUUACAAGGUGCUGCAUGGUUGUCGUCAGCUCGUGCCGUGAGGUGUCGGGUUAAGUCCCAUAACGAGCGCAACCCCUAUUCUUAGUUGCCAUCAGGUAAUGCUGGGGACUCUAAGAAAACUGCCUACGCAAGUAGUGAGGAAGGUGGGGAUGACGUCAAAUCAGCACGGCCCUUAUGUCCAGGGCUACACACGUGCUACAAUGGCCAGUACAGAGGGUCGCUACCUGGUGACAGGAUGCUAAUCUCGAAAGCUGGUCUCAGUUCGGAUUGGAGUCUGCAACUCGACUCCAUGAAGCUGGAAUCGCUAGUAAUCGCGCAUCAGCCAUGGCGCGGUGAAUACGUUCCCGGGCCUU
rnacentral:rRNA from 1 species